UGCGGAGGGAUCAUUACCGAGUUUACAACUCCCAAACCCCUGUGAACAUACCAAUUGUUGCCUCGGCGGAUCAGCCCGCUCCCGGUAAAACGGGACGGCCCGCCAGAGGACCCCUAAACUCUGUUUCUAUAUGUAACUUCUGAGUAAAACCAUAAAUAAAUCAAAACUUUCAACAACGGAUCUCUUGGUUCUGGCAUCGAUGAAGAACGCAGCAAAAUGCGAUAAGUAAUGUGAAUUGCAGAAUUCAGUGAAUCAUCGAAUCUUUGAACGCACAUUGCGCCCGCCAGUAUUCUGGCGGGCAUGCCUGUUCGAGCGUCAUUUCAACCCUCAAGCCCAGCUUGGUGUUGGGACUCGCGAGUUAAACCGCGUUCCCCAAAUUGAUUGGCGGUCACGUCGAGCUUCCAUAGCGUAGUAGUAAAACCCUCGUUACUGGUAAUCGUCGCGGCCACGCCGUUAAACCCCAACUUCUGAAUGUUGACCUCGGAUCAGGUAGGAAUACCCGCUGAACUUAAGCAUAUCAAUAA
rnacentral:rRNA from 1 species